GGGCGGAUGGCCGAGUGGUCUAAGGCGCCAGAAUCAGGCUCUGGUCUCGAAAGAGGCGUGGGUUCGAACCCCACUUCGCUCA